rnacentral:rRNA from 1 species
UACAGAGGUCCCAAGCGUUGUUCGGAUUCACUGGGCGUAAAGGGUGCGUAGGUGGUGAGGUAAGUCGGAUGUGAAAGCUCGGAGCUCAACUCCGAAAUGGCAUUGGAAACUACCUUGCUCGAGGGUUGGAGGGGGGACUGGAAUACUUGGUGUAGCAGUGAAAUGCGUAGAUAUCAAGUGGAACACCAGUGGCGAAGGCGGGUCUCUGGACAGUUCCUGACGCUGAGGCACGAAGGCCAGGGGAGCAAACGGG